rnacentral:tRNA from 1 species
GACUCCGUGGUGCAGUGGUUAGCGCACCUGUCCGGAGAGCGAGAGGUCGUAGGUUUAAAUCCUAUCGGUGUCU